rfam:Streptomyces sp. Ncost-T6T-2b genome assembly, contig: Ga0115255_10906
CUUGACCGAGCCCAGCCAGAGCGGCCGGUCGUCGGGGCGGUCCUGGCCGUACGUGGCGAGCAGCGCGUUGGCCUC